rnacentral:lncRNA from 1 species
GCAGGAACUUUGGAAAGGUUUAUGGACACAGUGCUACGCGGAUUAAAAUGGGAGAUCUGCAUGUGCUAUCUCGAUGAUGUAAUCAUUUUUGGAAAAACACUCGAGGAGCACAAUCAGCGACUUGGCGUCGUACUGGACCGCAUACAAAACGCAGGAUUGGUUUUAAACUCAAAGAAGUGUCACUUCGGUGAGCGCCAGACUCU